GGUAAUGCCGGAUGCUCCGACUCCUCGCAUGGGGUGUCGGGAAAGAUUUCAUCGGUAUGGGAUGGGGUCGCGUCCUAUCAGGUAGUCGGCGGGGUAACGGCCCACCGAGCCUACGACGGGUAGCCGGCCUGAGAGGGCGACCGGCCACAUUGGGACUGAGAUACGGCCCAGACUCCUACGGGAGGCAGCAGUGGGGAAUAUUGCACAAUGGGCGCAAGCCUGAUGCAGCGACGCCGCGUGCGGGAUGACGGCCUUCGGGUUGUAAACCGCUUUUGAUCGGGAGCAAGCCUUCGGGUGAGUGUACCUUUCGAAUAAGCACCGGCUAACUACGUGCCAGCAGCCGCGGUAAUACGUAGGGUGCAAGCGUUAUCCGGAAUUAUUGGGCGUAAAGGGCUCGUAGGCGGUUCGUCGCGUCCGGUGUGAAAGUCCAUCGCUUAACGGUGGAUCUGCGCCGGGUACGGGCGGGCUGGAGUGCGGUAGGGGAGACUGGAAUUCCCGGUGUAACGGUGGAAUGUGUAGAUA
rnacentral:rRNA from 1 species